rnacentral:tRNA from 1 species
GUCGCUUAGCUCAGUUGGGAGAGCAUCGCCCUUACAAGGCGAGGGUCACUGGUUCAAGCCCA